rnacentral:rRNA from 1 species
CCUACGGGAGUCAGCAGUGAGGAAUAUUGGUCAAUGGUCGGGAGACUGAACCAGCCAAGCCGCGUGAGGGAUGAAGGUACAGAGUAUCGUAAACCUCUUUUGUCAGGGAACAAAGGCGGGGACGUGUCCCCGGAUGAGUGUACCUGAAGAAAAAGCAUCGGCUAACUCCGUGCCAGCAGCCGCGGUAAUACGGAGGAUGCGAGCGUUAUCCGGAUUUAUUGGGUUUAAAGGGUGCGCAGGCGGAUUUUUAAGUCAGCGGUCAAAUCGUGGGACUCAACCCCAUCCAGCCGUUGAAACUGGGGAUCUAGAGUGUGCGAGAGGUAUGCGGAAUUCGUGGUGUAGCGGUGAAAUGCUUAGAUAUCACGAAGAACUCCGAUUGCGAAGGCAGCUCACUGGACUGCAACUGACACUGAGGCUCGAAAGUGUGGGUAUCAAACAGGAUUAGAUACCCUUGUAGUC